CAGAGAGUGGUGGUAGACGGGUCGGUAUCGACCUGGAAGGGUGUGGGCAGUGGGGUCCCGCAGGGCUCGGUCCUUGGACCGACACUCUUCAAUGUCUUCAUCAGUGACUUAGACGAGGGAGUGAAGUGUACUCUGUCCAAGUUUGUGAGUGGUACAAAACUAUGGGGAGAAGUGGACACACCGGAGGGCAGGGAACAAGUACAGGCAGACCUGGACAGGUUGGACAAAUGGGCAGAAAACAAUAGAAUGUGAUUGAACAAGGAGAAAUGCAAAGUGCUGCACCUAGUGAGGAGAAAUGUUCAGCAUACCUACUGCCUAGGGAAUGACCUGCUGGGUGGCACAGAAGCGGAAAGGGAUUUUGGAGUCCUAGUGGACUCCAAGAUGAACAUGAGUCAGCAGUGUGACGAAGUCAUCAGCAAAGCUAACUGCACUUUAUUGUGCAUCAGCGGAUGCAUGACAAACAGAGCCAAGGAGGUGAUACUUCCCCUCUAUCAGGCGCUGGUCAGACCGCAGUUGGAGUACUGCGUGCAAUUUUGGGCGCCACGCUUCAAGAGGGAUGCGGAUAACCUGGAGAGGGUCCAGAGAAGGGCCACUCGUAUGGUCAAGGGCUUGCAGGCCAAGCCCUACAAGGAGAGACUGGGGCACCUGGACCUCUUCAGCCUCUGCAAGAUAAGGUUGAGAGGCGACCUUGUGGCUGCCUAUAAGUUCAUCCUGGGGGCGCAGAAGGGAAUUGGUGAGGCUCUACUCACCAAGGCGCCCCUGGGGGUUACAAGAAAUAAUGGCCACAAGCUAGCAGAGAGCAGAUUUAGACUGGACAUUAGGAAGAACUUCUUCAGUUAGAGUGGCCAAAGUUUGGAACGGGCUCCCAAGGGAGGUGGUGCUCUUCCCUACCCUGGGGGUCUUCAAGAGGAGGUUAGAUAGGCAUCUGGCUGGGGUCAUCUGAACCCAGCACACUUUCCUGCCUAUGCAGGGGGUUGGACUCAAUGAUUUAUUGAGGUCCUUUCCAGCCCUAACAUAUAUGAACCUAUGAAUCUAAGAGGUGGUGGAAUCUCCAUCCUUGGAGAUUUUUAAGACCCAGUUAGACAAAGCCUUGUCUGAGAUGAGAUGUUUGUGGCUGGUCCUGCUUUAAGUAGGGGGUUGGACUAGAUGUGACCUCCUGAGGUCCCUCCUAACCUCCAUGAUGAAUGCAUUCAUAUAAAGACCCAUACAGGGACACCACAGCUUCUUCCAUGAAACAAGUGGCUGGGCACUUGGUAUAACUUGAGGCCUGUCUCAUGGUCAGAGACAACCCAAUUAGGGUGCUGGGCCCCAGGGAAAUCAGCCUGUGCAGGGCCCUGCCCCUGGACAUGAGGAAGCCGGCGGUGGAUUCGGCAGCCCAGGGAGGGGGGGUUUCCGGGUGGCUAGAGUUGCUGCGUCGCUCUGCCCAGCUCCGCAGGGGCUCCCUAAAGUGCGGGGCUUGGGGCAGUCACCCUGAUUCAUCCCCCCCAGGGAUGGGCCUGCCCAUGGUACAAGGAUCUCUUUGUUACGGCCUGGAAGGUAGCUAGUUCAUUGCAGUACAAAGAUUGCAGUUCUGCUGCUGCCUGUGCAAGGGGCUUGGGGCUGUCGGGUCCUGCGACCGACUUCAGUGCUAUCAGGAUGUAGAGUCAUAGGAGUCCAGAAGGAAGGGACCUUAUACAUGCACAGACAGGACCCAGGCAUUUGGGCCACACACACACACACCCACUCCCAGCUGAUUGCUACUCACUGGUGGAGAAGGCAUGGUCCAGCCUGCUGCAUAUAAAAAUUGUGAAAGCUUGGACAGUGUACAAGACAAAGGCUGGGGCAAGACUGGAUCACAGUAACAAGACUGCCACAAGAAAAUCAAACUCUGCUAAUGGCUUGCAACCCAUUAGGCGUCAAGACAGUAGAGUGUUUGCAGUACCUAAUACCAGACCCAUGUCAUAAAAUAAUAACAGUGGUUAAAAUUGUUGGCAGAGACCCAAUGCGCUCAUCACAUGUGUGCACCUAAGAAAGCCCUUUAAGGAAAAGGCUGGGCCAGUGAAGGCAAGGAAACUAUAUACAGACAAGGUUCUUUGGGUGAAUCUGAUAUCUUUUAUUAGAUCAUCUUAAAAGUGUAGUUGGUCUAAUAAAACAUAUCAGUGUCACCCAAAGAACAUUGUCUGCCUGUGUCCUUAGACCAACACGGCUACAACCUACACCCCAGGAAACUAUAUAUGCAUUUCAACUGACCUAGCAGCUAAAGAAAACAAAAGGCAUCUCAAAAGAAACCUGUAAAAGGUGCACUGAAUGCAGGGAGGAUGUUCUAUAUGUGACAUCCUCACAUUUCUCAAAACAGGCAUCCAAUGUCACUCUAAGGCGUUACAGUGUCUCAAUCAUUCAAUGUAUAUCUGGAGUUCUGUAAGUAGACCAUCACUGGUACAAGCUACUGCAAAUUUGCCCCACUGCUAUACAAAUACCCCAAGAUAGGUUCAGUGACACCUCUUAGUAUCCUGUCUGACACCCAAGGCCCGUCAUCUGUGAUUGACCUAUAAUUGCAGGGACUGCAGAAACACAGUCUUUACACCUAGACAUUCAAGAACAGGAGCCAAACACUUAAUAGUUACGAUAUGAUGAUCAACCUUUUCCUCCAUUUUGUUUGGACUUUAAUCAGGCAAUCAUCAAGGAAAAAUGAUGUUUUGAAGCUAUACAAUUAAACAGUAUAAGAACUAAGCAGGACUGCCAGCAAAGUGUGCAUAGUCCAAAAAGUCAUUCUGCCACCCAGCCAACAAGUGAAGGACCCACGCUUUCAGGCUGUACAAGAACUGCUUCCUGCCUGCAAAGGGUGAAAGUUGAUCCAAGCGCAGAGAAGACUCCUACACUGGAUGGGCAGCUUGCUUUUUAACAUGGUUCAUGACAAGUUUAGGGCUGAGGGGAAGCCAUCUUCUGCCCAACUUAGACUUCCUUCCUCAGUUCAGGUCAGGUCGAUGGGGGCAGCCGUCAUCCCCGGUCUUUUCCCCACAGAGAGCACAGGCAAUAGGGACAAACCUGCUGUCCAGGCUGAAGUCGCCCUGGCCACCACCAGGGGAGCUACCAUCAGUGCCAUGAGGGCCAGGAAGCCAAGUCUUACGCUGGUGCCAGUGCUGACGUUGCCCAUGGGAUCAUAAGGGAAAUUGUCACGGUUGUUGCUGACAGGGCUUCCCCCAAGUCCACGGCAUAACUUGUUGGGGGCUGCAAGGAGUUUGCCGAGGAGGACGCCAAGGCUGCUGUGGUUACCAAGAACGCCACCACCAAGGCCGCCAUGGUUGCUGCCACCAGGGUUGCUGCAGCUGCCACCUCUAAGGCUGCUACAGCUGCUGCCAGCAAGGUUGCCAGCAAGGCCACCAAGGUGCCUCCAGGGGAUGCCACUAUGGCCGACAAAGCUGCUGCCGAGGCUGCCGGGGCUCUCAUCAUUGCUGUUGAGGCCGCCAAAAUGGCAUAAUAUUAAAUUUAAUCCGACAGCAGCCACUGGGCAUUACUGUAACUGAUUUCUUUUAUACACCAUGAGCUAUUACUCAUUUUACCCGACUUGUGCGAUGUGCUGGGCAUCACGAUGCCAA